UCCAUAUCAUUGUCAAUUUUGAUGGGAAGUUCGCACUGCUUGAUAGCAGUUUCCUGUAGUUGUAAUGCAAACUCAAGACCCCAAACCACAUCGCUCAUUGAUGGUCUUUCCACUCCAUUGUCGAGCAAGCAACCGAUUGCAACCUCAGCGAAUUUUCUCAGGCAAUCGGGUGCAAUCUUUCCUUGUAGAUAUGGAUCAAUUAUGUCAUCAAAUGUC
rnacentral:misc_RNA from 1 species